rnacentral:rRNA from 1 species
CGGGUGAGUAAUAUAUCGGAACGUGCCCAGUAGUGGGGGAGUAGCCCGGCGAAAGCCGGAUUAAUACCGCAUACGACCUACGGGUGAAAGCGGGGGAUCGCAAGACCUCGCGCUAUUGGAGCGGCCGAUAUCAGAUUAGCUAGUUGGUGGGGUAAAAGCCCACCAAGGCGACGAUCUGUAGCUGGUCUGAGAGGACGACCAGCCACACUGGGACUGAGACACGGCCCAG